GACAGAGGGUGCAAACGUUGUUCGGAAUUACUGGGCGUAAAGCGUGUGUAGGCGGUCCGCUAAGUCGGGUGUGAAAGCCCUGGGCUCAACCCAGGAAGUGCACUCGAAACUGGCGGGCUAGAGUAUCGGAGAGGUUGGUGGAAUUCUCGGUGUAGAGGUGAAAUUCGUAGAUAUCGAGAGGAACACCGGUGGCGAAGGCGGCCAACUGGACGAAUACUGACGCUGAGGUGCGAAAGCGUGGGGAGCAAACAGG
rnacentral:rRNA from 1 species